AAAUUUAUAACCGGAGCUCGGUGUGGAGAUGUAGAGUCGGCAGAUCAUCUCUUUCUACACUGCAGAUUCACCAAGAGAGUUUGGGAGUUACUAUCAACGACAACACCCCUCCUUAUAUCUCUGACAAUGGACGUCGAACAGGCUCUAAAACUAGGAAACAGCCUCACCAAUUGUCCCCCAACGGGUUUAUUUGAAGCAUUUGGACUUCGCGCAACUCCCUGAUCUUCGAAAACAUGGAUCUGUCUCCACGAUCCAUUGCGAACAAAGCAAUCCGCUUGGCCCGAGAGUGGCAAGAAGCACAGCACCACACUUCACAGAAUCAGCUUCAGAGCAUCACAAGGCAACGACACCUUCGAAGGUUAGUGGGAACUAUUGAUGUUUUUACUGAUGCGGCGUGGAGAUCUACUGAUAGGGUUGCAGGCGUUGUCCGUGUAAAUCUGAAACACGGCCGCCUAGUUCAAGACAAAAUUGUGGGCCAACCGUUCUCUGUUUGUUAAUUCAAGGUGUAUGCUACAAGAUUUAACUCCUAACCCAUCUUCCCAAUUCAUGGUGAUUACUUACUUGAUCUGAAGACAAAAAGGGUGAAGACUUGCAAUCUUUUAUUGUAUUUUGUGUUUUCAAGAUCAAAACAUUCUGUUUUUUUUUUGUUUAUCUCAUGAAUUGGUAGUUUCUUUUUGUGACUAUUGAAUCAGAUGUAUACUGGAAAAACAAUGUUAUUCUGUAAACUUAUAUAAGCAUGUAUGAAAACAUAUAUUUGGUACUUAAACAUAUUAUAAAUAUAUUAAAUCGUAUUAAAAGCUAGGCCCCACGUAUACCCCGAUUACUCGCCGAUUUUUUGGUAACUCGCUAGGACCGGAGUAGCCGCCCGACUAACGCCUAGCAUAGUUCCGAACAGGGAGUUGAGCCAAUGCACCUUUGGUGCUUCUCCUAGAAAAACAAGAAACAAAGUAUGCAAAGAAACACACUAUUGUCCAUAGAAAAUAGACAGAUUUUUCAUCAAAGAACUUCACUAAAUAUGUACCAUGCAUUAUGAAUGCUCCUUGAAGUUCAAAUGGUAGUGACAAUCAGAUACAUUUGGUGGAAACACAAAAUCAACUACAUGCUCAAACAAAGUUAUAACAAAGUAGUCAAUUCUAUCUUCAUCAAUCAAAUAAAACACAAUGUUCACAUUCUCAUAUUAUUUUUGACAUGCAGGCUUUCUAUCUCAAGCAAGAGCUUAUCCACAUCAAGUUCACCCCCCCCCCCCCCCCCCCCCCCAAUUUGGUUAGUUCAAGAAGAGGUCUAGAUUUCUCGAGCAUCAUAAAGUCGGAUUCAAGAUUAAUUGAAGUAGUUCUUGUCAAAAAAAACUUCAAGAUGAAUCCUAGCAAGCGUUUUUACUCUCAAGUCAUCUAGUUUUCUAGUUUCACAUAUCAGAUCAAGACAUUCAUUGAUGAGCAAUUGAGAAUUCAAAUGAGAGGCAAUAUCUUCAUCACAAGGAAGGAAAUAUUCUCAAAAUGAAGUUUUAAAGUCGGAUUACAUAUACCUUCUAGCUGAGUUGGUGGAGCCCAAUAUAUUACAUCUUUAAGGUCGAAAGCAACAUCAAUCUCAUACAUUGUAAGCUCCCUUCCUUCAAGCUCUGCCCGAUCCCUAAUAAGUUUCACCUGGAUCUUUCGUGCCAGGGCUCUCUUUGUCGUACACGGGUUCUUUUUCUGAAGCUCAUAUAACUUCACACGCUGUUCUCGAGCUCCUGUUUAAUUUCAUUGUCUCUUUAAGAAUGUGUUUACUUCUUUUUUUUUGUUACUGUCUUUCUUCUUUGUUUUUACAAAAACAAAAAAAAAUAAUUGGGCCUCGUGAGCCUCUUUCGUAUGUUCGGAAAGGAUGUUAUGACGCUUUUUGUUGAGAUCAUUUAUGCGAACUCGGGUGUUUUAGUUGAUACUAUCUUGAUAUCUGGUCGAUGUUGCCUUUGAUAAGUUUUAGUCGAUGCUAUUUGCCGCGGGGUGCGGGAUCGACUGUGUUUGAAUGCUUGAUCAGGGACCAUGAUUAAUAGUUGACCGUGUUUGUUUGGCUGAAAGUGGUUUUGCUGACAUUCGAUUCAUUAUUUUUUAUCAUUAGUUUAUUUUCUAGAUGAAAACAUAGAUUCAAUCAUAAAGCUACAAAUUUUCUUAAAUCUUGUUUUUUUCCUUCCCUUCUGGUUGUUCAAAGAGUCGGCUGGGGAUGCUUUUCGUCGCUUUUCGUCUUACUUUUCACGUAUGUAUGGAUUUGAUCCAUGAGUGGUUCGUAGAGGGCGAGGCCGUUUCCUAUUUUAUGGAGGACGUAAUCUGAAAUUGUUUUUGAACAUGGUGGAAUGUUGUCAUAAAUUUUGAUCUCCUCGGUAGUUAGUGGCACUCCGCAUGCGGCAGCAUAAGAGACGGAGAGGCCAUGGGGUUUGGUGUGUUGAUUAGGAGAUUGUUUAGGUAAGGUGAAGAGCAUGUUGAACUUAUUGUGCUCAUCCUUAGUAUGAUAGUAUAUGUUUACAACCUCUUGGGUCUUUAUAAUGGUUGAGAUUUUUGGGAAAGUUGGAGAGAAUCAAUUUGCGUACAAAAAGGUCGAAUAUUCCAAUGCUGGUUGGUACUAUGUCUUUGACUUUCUUGGGAACAUGAGUUUCGGGUUCUGAUUUUCGCGACAAUUGUCGUUGGAAAGUGGCGGCUCGGCCCGGGUUUGAGAUGUCUAUGUACCUACGUCAACAAAUCAAGCCUUAACGUAGUUCAAUUGUUUUUUCUUUUGUUUGUUGGAUCGUGAAUUCUUUGGUUCGAAUACACGGAUCUUAAAACCAUACCAAGUAUUUGAUAAUAAUUGUUUGUAAAAAUUAGAAAAGAAAGUAAUGUGGAUAACUAUAUCUUCAAAUGUAACAAUAUAAUCAGAUUUCAGUUAACAAAAAUGGAUUUUAUUAAUAAAAUGUGAUUCAAGUACGAUGAAUAAAAUAAAACAAUGACUAAGGAGAAAGUACAGAGAGUGAGAUCGAGAUCAAAUUGGAGGGUAUGUUGUGUCUAGGAUUAGAAUGUGUAUCCCUCUUUCUCCUUUCUCCUUUCUCCUCUCUCCUCUCUCCUCUCUCCUCUCUCCUCUCUUUUUAUAGUCUUUCAUUCGAUCAACUGUUACCGUAAUUUACUUCUUGGUUUAUUGUACACUCCGAAAUCUCCGGUAUGUUCCUUCUAAUAAAUUAGAAGAGUAUGUUUGCUUUGACCUCUUUCUGUUCAUGCGGGCCUCGCCAUUUUACAGCGAGCUCGAAGUCAUAUACUGAUCGAUGAGGUCGAACUCAACACGGGUAGAGACAAAUAGGCCCAUUCCAUUUACGGCCCAAGUAAGCUGUUUACUUGUCUUGUUGGGAUUUGGGUCCGACACUAAUUCAGCAAAUCGGGAGCAAUGACACAAUGAUAAUGGCUCUGAAACAGCCUUUCCCGCAUUCAAUAAAGGGAAAGAAUAAUGUCUAGACAGGUGUUGCAGGUUGCCAAAGUUGUAGAUGACAUUCUUGUUGAACAAGGUUUGUUUUGUUUCUUUGUUUUGAUCAUUCGUUUUGAUGUGUUUGUAUUAUUGUUUUCUAACAUGAUGACUUGGUUUUUAUUCAAAAAAAAAGAAUAAUGUCUAGACAGUCGCACUCUAUUGUAAUCAAAUCAAAAC